UACGUAUGGUGCAAGCGUUAUCCGGAUUUACUGGGUGUAAAGGGAGCGCAGGCGGCGCGGCAAGCCUGAUGUGAAAGCCCGCGGCCCAACCGCGGGACUGCAUUGGGAACUACCGGGCUGGAACGCCGGAGAGGUAGGCGGAAUUCCUAGUGUAGCGGUGAAAUGCGUAGAUAUUAGGAGGAACACCAGUGGCGAACGCGGCCUACUGGACGGUGACUGACGCUGAGGCUCGAAAGCGUGGGGAGCAAACAGG
rnacentral:rRNA from 1 species